GACGAACGCUGGCGGCGUGCUUAACACAUGCAAGUCGUACGGUAAGGCCCUUUCGGGGGUACACGAGUGGCGAACGGGUGAGUAACACGUGAGUAACCUGCCCACAACUUUGGGAUAACGCUAGGAAACUGGUGCUAAUACUGGAUAUGUGCUACUGCUGCAUGGUGGGGGUUGGAAAGCUCCGGCGGUUGUGGAUGGACUCGCGGCCUAUCAGCUUGUUGGUGGGGUAGUGGCCUACCAAGGCGGCGAUGGGUAGCCGGCCUGAGAGGGUGACCGGCCACAUUGGGACUGAGAUACGGCCCAGACUCCUACGGGAGGCAGCAGUGGGGAAUAUUGCACAAUGGGCGCAAGCCUGAUGCAGCAACGCCGCGUGCGGGAUGACGGCCUUCGGGUUGUAAACCGCUUUCAGCAGGGACGAAGCUUUUUGUGACGGUACCUGCAGAAGAAGCACCGGCUAACUACGUG
rnacentral:rRNA from 1 species